GCGCCCUUAGCCCAGCUGGAUAGAGCAGGGGACUUCUAAUCCCAAGGUCAUGCGUUCGAGUCGCAUAGGGCGCACCA
rnacentral:tRNA from 2 species